UACGGUGCGAGUCGAUCAAUGUACUCGGGUCGCGGGUGAACAAUUGCAGCUUUAAGGUCUUUGUUGAUGCACAUCUCGUGGCAUUCAUCAAGUCCAACUGAGCUGAAUGCAUUGCUUGACAGGCUGACGGAGAAUGACCCAGACUGGAACUGUGCCUUGAUUUCCCCUGGCAUGGAUGCAACGUGGGCCAGAUGGUGGGGAAGUAGACGCAAGUAGUAUGUUCUGUCAAAAGCGUGAAACAAAGGGGCUGCAGCUUUGAUUGCAGCUACUCGUAGAUCCCAGUUUCCAGUACGCACCGCUACCCAUAAACCAAUGUAUGAUGUCAUGUGCUGGAAAUAGAAAUCAACCCAGAAUCGCCAGGUGUCAUCACGUUCAGCCAUUGCUGUGGCGAAUUCUUGCAGUUGGUCAUAUGUAGCCGAUGGGUUGCCACACCUCUGGAGCAUUGUGCGACCAAUGGCUUCAUGAGCAAGUAGCAGAAACUCAUGGCACUUGCGAAAGUUGGUGGCUUUUUCCAACACCGACAGGAGAUCUCCGCGACACCCCAUUGCCACUGCCAUAGAUUUCAAGCCUGCAUCCCAGUAGACUCUCAUCAGCACGGGAUGUAUUGCCUUGAGAAGGUGCCAAUCUCCUGGAAAUGGAACCAGCCAUGCUAGUUCGUCUCCGUACUCUCUUAUGAGCGAGAGGAGGUGAUCAUACGUCUUUCCAUCACCCACAACAACGAGAACACGAUGUGGACUGGUCACAAUCACCAAUUACGGCUGAUUCUUGAACACACUGGAGCGCGUCGUCACACUGUGUCUCAGGGUCUCAGCUCGUGCAGUGGCCAGGGACUUGAAUAAGCACGAGGCCAUGUCACAACCAGUUCGGUACAGCAGUGUGCCCUGCUUCCGCCCUCCAAAUGACCCGUGCUGCAGAUGCGUGCCUAGCUUUGCCUGUAGGCUGGAUAGCAGCCACCGAUUGUUCAUCUCAGCCUCACCAUCAGUUAGGGCUGAGUGAUGAUCAGCAGCUGUGGCGAGCAGAAGGGCCCUAUUCUCGAACAAUGUCUGCCCGACGAAUACGGCCGUUGAGAUGAGAGCUGCUUCACACCUCGAUGCCGAUGGCGUCUCCUUUCGCAGAGAUUGGAGGAGCACCUGGAGCUGUUGGUCUGUGCUCCGACUCUCUCCAUCAGCAUCUACCAGCUCCAGCUGUACCUUGUAGCAUGUAAGGCACAGGGUGCUAUCGCCACUUA